rnacentral:rRNA from 1 species
GAACGCCGUAGCAAUACGGUAGUGGCAGACGGGUGAGUAACGCGUGGGAACAUACCCCUCGGUUCGGAAUAACUCAGGGAAACUUGAGCUGAUACCGGAUACGUCCAAGGUUUUAAUCGACCUUGGAGAAAGAUUUAUCGCCGGGGGCUUGGCCCGCGUCUGAUUAGCUAGUUGGCGGGGUAACGGCCCACCAAGGCGAAGAUCGGUAGCCGGCCUGAGAGGGCGCACGGCCACACUGGAACUGAAACACGGUCCAGACUCCUACGGGAGGCAGCAGUGGGGAAUUUUGCGCAAUGGGGGAAACCCUGACGCAGCAACGCCGCGUGGAGGAUGAAGCCCCUUGGGGCGUAAACUCCUUUCGACCAAGACGAUAAUGACGGUACUGGUGGAAGAAGCACCGGCUAACUCUGUGCCAGCAGCCGCGGUAAUACAGAGGGUGCAAGCGUUGUUCGGAAUAAUUGGGCGUAAAGGGUGCG